GAUGAACGCUGGCGGCGUGCCUAAUACAUGCAAGUCGAGCGAACGGACGAGAAGCUUGCUUCUCUGAUGUUAGCGGCGGACGGGUGAGUAACACGUGGAUAACCUACCUAUAAGACUGGGAUAACUUCGGGAAACCGGAGCUAAUACCGGAUAAUAUUAUGAACCGCAUGGUUCAAAAGUGAAAGACGGUCUUGCUGUCACUUAUAGAUGGAUCCGCGCUGCAUUAGCUAGUUGGUAAGGUAACGGCUUACCAAGGCAACGAUGCAUAGCCGACCUGAGAGGGUGAUCGGCCACUCUGGAACUGAGACACGGUCCAGACUCCUACGGGAGGCAGCAGUAGGGAAUCUUCCGCAAUGGGCGAAAGCCUGACGGAGCAACGCCGCGUGAGUGAUGAAGGUCUUCGGAUCGUAAAACUCUGUUAUUAGGGAAGAACAUAUGUGUAAGUAACUGUGCACAUCUUGACGGUACCUAAUCAGAAAGCCACGGCUAACUACGUG
rnacentral:rRNA from 1 species